GAAACAGGUUAAUAUUCCUGUACUGGUUUGUGGGUGUUUGAGCGAUUGAGGGGACGCAGGAAGCUAGGUCGGCCGGGUGACGGAUGUCCCGGUUUAAGGGUGUAGGCUGUCGUGGCAGGCAAAUCCACCACGGCAAGGCCGAGACCCGAUGACGAGGGGCCUUAUGUGCCCCACAAAGCGAUUGAUGCUCGACUGCCAAGAAAAGCCUCUAAGCGAAUCCAUGAUCCAACCGUACCGUAAACCGACACA
rnacentral:rRNA from 1 species